rnacentral:lncRNA from 1 species
GGAAAUGCAAAAUUAAUCAACAAACACAAGAAUUAAACUAAAUUACUUGUCUUGAAUUAGAAAUAAAUAGACAAUAGGGUUCGUCCCAUCCAAUCCAUUAAACAAAUUAGCCUAACAUAAUGUUGGAAUUAAACGCAUAAAAAUAGAAUGACAUCAUCGAGAAAUAGACGAAACGUAAUUGAUUCAAUAGAAUGACAUCAUCGAGAAAUAGACGAAACGUAAUUAAUUCCAAUAGUUCGGGUCUUCCUCGUGUUUGCCAUCUUCGUAUCUCUUGAUUUCUGCCUUUGUAAUUUCCCUUUUUAAUUCCCCGGCAGUAGGUAGCUCGUGUAUCUUCGGCUCUCUCAUGUGAAUGUAAAUCCAACCAAAAACAGCCGCAAUUUCGUGUUUGAAUCUGUAUCAAUUCUGCCUUCCUGUGGGUAAUUAUAUAAUCUUCAGCAAUAUGCAACCCUAUUAAUUCCCUCACGUGUAUAUAUAUUUAAUUCUGCAGUGGGCAAAAUUUUCCCCAGUUGGCAUGUAUAAUUCUCCUUCCGGCUGCCGUUCCCAAUUAAUGUGUAACUAUCCUUCUCUUUUUUAUAUUUGCCAGCAUGUGUAUAUAUAUUAGUGGUAACCUAGCCCACAAUGUUUGACUUUCAAAAGGAUUCCAAUUUUUCUCCAAUUUGGCAAUCUGCACGUGUUUUUCUUCCCUCAAGAUUCCAGCACACUUUAAUUAAAGUACCUGCAGUCCAAGUCCAACUGAAAUUUGAGGCUCAUUAUGGUGGUAGUUGUUUCCAAGCUCUCAAUUUUCUUUCAAUGGCCACUUUAAUCCAUGCAUUUCAAAUAUUGCCAUUUUCCCCCAAUUUUUUCUUCUUUCCUUCACUUCCUUUUAAUCCAUGAAAAUUCACCUACUAAACGUAAGACACAACAAUUUAAAAUAUAUUUUGCUAAAAGACUAUCAGAUAUUGUUAUUUUAGAGCCCCGAAUAAGUGUAUAAAAUACACUUAUCAAACACCCCAAACAUAAAUCAUUUGUUUGUUCUCAAACAAAAUUAUAACCUAAAUAAUAACAAACACGCAAACAUGCAAAAAUAUUUGGUUAGACAAUCUAACUUUUUGCCUCAGGAUUUGAAAUCACGGUAUUAAAUCUACAAACUACUUCAAAGUCACUAUACUAAACUAAUAUCCACUUUUCCAAUGCAAAACCAACGUGUGUGUGUGUGUGUGAAGAACUAAGUAGACAUUAAUGAAUUCACAAGUUGUUCCAAUUCCCGACCCUCUAUAGUCAAAUAUAUCUAUUCAUCUCUCGUAAGAUUCACACACCCCCAAACAUAUUCAUUUUCACUCUUUUCCCAGUAUGUGAUCUAAGAUUGAAUUUCUCAUUACUAUCCUCACCCUCUCCAAUUCAGGUGGACGUCACUAGUUGUAAGUCAACACAUCAAUGAACAAGGAUUCUCCAAUUAUUUGAUUGCUUCGACCGUCAAGAUUCAAUUAUGCUAAUUAUUCUUUAUCGAAAGUCAAAUUUCCUCGAACAAGUGUUGGGACUUACAAGGCAUUUAGUGUUUUUUUUUUCACUCUCCCUUAAGCUUUCUAAAUGACUCAUGUAGUAGGCUUUAUGCCAAUAACUCCCACAUCAGAUGACUUUAAGGCACCAGAUUUUCAAAUGCCCUUACAGGCUUAAUAACCCGAGUAAAAAAGGCUUCAAAGAGAACAAUUUUUUAGGACAAUUUCAUCUCUGAUUGCUUUUUAAAUGACCCUUGUACCGAGUUUUAGGUUGAUAACUCUCAUGUCAGAUGACUUUAGGGCACCAGAUUUUAAGAUACCCUUACAGACUUAAUUGCUCAAGUCAUAAAAGUUCCGAAGAAAAAAUUUUAAAUUUAUAAAUAUAUGCCUUGAUCAGUACAAUGCCCCUUAUCACACACCUAUUCAAGCAAAUCGACCUCCAAUUUAAGACUUUCACCCAAUUUUAUCAUAUAAAUCUCAGAAAAUCCACAUAAAAUUUUUCACACAAGGAAUCCACAUUCACAUCUGUAUUUUCCUACAACAGUAAGAUCUCCCCAAAUUAUGCUAAAUUUGGUUUAAGGAUAAUUAAUUAGUAUGGUUUGGGUUAAGCAUCUAUGUCCAACUAAUUCAGUCUAUCAAGUGUAUGAAUGAACUCAUUUCAUCAUAAUGUUAAACUCAUUUCUAGUGCAUGUAUAAUAUCAAGUUUUGCAAGUUCAAACUUCAAUUAGUCUAGUAUGCAUUCUAUCCACAGUUCAUAAAUCAACACCAAAUCUCAAAUUUAAUCAUCAUUGUCAGCCAAACUGUCUAACUCACACAAUUAUAGCCAAAAAUAAAUAAAAAAUAAAAAUUUGAAGAUUUUUUUAAUUUUUUUUAAUUUUAUUAAACAUAUUAAAACAACGCACGAAAACAAGGAAAACCGAAAAACACAAAAUAUUUUCCACCCCUAAACUUAAACCAGACAUUGUCCUCAUUGUCUUAAAAUAUAAUUAAGAAUGUAUGGGGACGGGGAAGAAAAUGAGGAAGGUACUCCCUGAAUUUUUCCAUUGAACGUGGAAGAUACUGUUGGUAAUGGCUAGACAAUCUUUCUCAUAAUGCUUUCCCUUUUGUCGAUGUUGGUUUGAGUGUUUCACGACGUCAUGUUCGUGCAUCUGCUAAUCAAAUCAAACAUUAGAGAUCAAAUAAUUCAAAACAUGCAUUACUUAGCCCAAACACUCGAAAUAACCAACAUUAUAUUUAAGGGUCUCAAUAAAAACAUGAUCGGAUGAUGAUACUCUAUAAAUAUAAACGUGCCUAAAUCUAAUGCAACUAAUAAUUAAAACAAAUCUAUCUGCAAUACGAUGCAGAAAAUAAAAUAAAUAAGAGGUUUAGAAAUUGGGUUGCCUCUCAAUAAGCGUUUAAUUUAUAGUCUUUAGCUAGACUUUGUUGUUCUGGCUACUCUGUAUUAUCAAGUGGCACGGUUAUUUUUUCGCUGGAGUAGUCACCUCCCCAAUAAGCUUUCAACCGUUGUCAAUUUACUUUAAACCUCCUUUGUUGAUCUUGAGAUAUCACUUCCACAGUACCAUGUGGAAACAUAGUUACUACUGUGAACGGAUCAGACCAUCUAGACUUUAGCUUUCCUGGAAAGAGCUUGAGGCGUGAAUUGAACAUCAAUACCUGCUGACCAACCUCAAACUCCUUCUCCCUUAUAUGCCCGUCGUGCCAUCUUUUGAUCUUUUUCUUGUAAAUCUUUACAUUCUCAUACAAAUCCAAAUAAAACUCAUCUAGCUUAUGAAGUUGUAGAACCCUCUUUUCUCCUGCUGCCCUCAUAUUGAAAUUGAGCAAGUGUGUCGCCCAAUAUGCUUUUUGCUCUAACUCAACGGGUAGAUGACACGCUUUUCUGAAUACCAGUUGAUAUGGAGACAUGCCAAUUGGAGUCUUAAAUGCUGUUCUAUAUGUCCAAAGUGCAUCAUUUAAUUUCUUAGCCCAAUCUUUACGUGAUGCAUUGACUGUAGCUUCAAGAAUUUUUUUCAACUCCCUGUUGGAGAUUUCCACUUGUCCGCUAGUUUGAGGAUGGUAUGGAGUCGAGAACGAUGUUUCACUCCAUAUUUGGCCAACAACGAAGCAAAUAGGCGGUUACAAAAAUGCUUUCCACCAUAACUAAUAAUCGUCCUUGGGGUCCCGUAUCGAGUGAAAAUGUUCUUCUUGAGGAAUUGAGUUACCACUCGACUGUCAUUCGUUGGUGAAGCUACAGCUUCAACCUACUUAAACACAUAGUCCACCGCUACCAGUAUAUAUUGUUGACCAUAGGAUGGAGGAAAUGGUCCCAUGAAGUCAAUGCCCCAAACGUCGAAUGAUUUAACCUCCAAAAUACUGUUCGGAGGCAUCUCAUUCCCCCUUAAGAUGUUUCCAGUCCUCUGGAACUUAUCACAAUAUUUCAGCAUAUAAUGGGCAUCCUUGAACAAUGUAGGCCAAGAAAAACCCGAUUGAGUAUCUUUGCUGCUGUCUUGGUUAUUGCGAAGUGACCCCCAUACGGUGCAGAGUGACAUGAUUCUAAUACUUGAUGUUGUUCUACUUUUGGCACACAACGGCGUAUGAUUUGAUCUGGAUCCCUUCUGUAAAGGAUUGGAUCAUCCCAAAAGUAGUGUUUUAGGUCACUGAAGAGUUUCUUCUUUUGGUGACUCGAUUAGUCUAGUGAGAUGAUGGAGCGGGCCAAAUAAUUGACAUAAUCGGCGUACCAUGGUAUUGUGAUAAUCUGAAAAAGCAUUUCAUCAAGAAAAACUUCAUUGAUCUCCACUAUAGGAUUUGGCUCAUGUGAUUCAAGGCGAGAAAGGUAAUCUGCCACAACAUUCUCACUCCCCCCCCUUUUUUUUUUUAAUCUCUGAUCUCCAAAUCAAGCUCUUGCAAUAAGAGUAUCCAUCAAAUAAGUCUUGGUUUUGCGUCCUUCUUGCUCAUUAGAUAUUUCAAUGCUUAAUGAUUUGUAUAGACAAUCACUUUUGACCUAAUCAAAUAUGACCUGAAUUUGUCAAUGGCGAACACCACUGUCAAAAGCUCUUUCUCUAUAGUAGCAUAAUUCAUUUGAGCCUUGUCUAAAGUUUUACUAGCAUAGUGGAUAACAUGAGAAAUCUUCUCCUUGUGUUGACCCAACACCGUCCCCACUGUCUGAUCACUGGCAUCACACAUAAGCUCAAACGGAUAAUCCCAGUCUGGAGGAGCCAACAUUGGAGUGAAAACCAAUUUUUCCUUUAAAUUGUUGAAAGCAGUCAAGCACUCCUCAUAAAAGUGAAAUGGAGCUCCUUUUUCCAAUAGAUUACAUAAUGGCUUCGAGAUUUUGAAAAAGUCUUUGAUGAAUCGGCAGUAGAACCCAGCGUGACCCAAGAAACUUCUGACUCUUUUCACUGUUAUCGGCGAUGGUGGAUUUUCGAUGACUUGUAUCUUAGCUUUGUCCACCUCACUACCCCGUGCUGAAAUCAGAUGCCCUAACACAAUCCCUUCUUUUACUAUGAAAUGGCAGUUUUCCCAAUUUAAUACAAGGUUUGUAUCUUCACACCGCUGCAACACUUUUCCCAAAUGUGUAAGGCAUUCCUUAAAUAAUUUUUCAAAUACUGAGAAAUCAUCCAUAAAUACCUCAAUGAUAUUUCCCACCAUGUCCGAGAAAAUAGAUAUCAUACAACGUUGAAAGGUAGCAGGAGUGUUACAAAGAUCGAAGGGCAUCUUUCUAUAAGCAAAAGUGCCAUAAGGGCAUGUAAAGGUCGUCUUCUUUUGAUCAUCUGGCAUUAUAGGAAUCUGGUUGUACCCCGAAUAAAAAUCCAAGAAGCAAUAGUACGCAUGUCCAGCAAGUCUCUCCAGCAUCUGAUCAAUAAAAGGAAGGGGAAAGUGAUCCUUCCUCGUAGCGUUGUUGAGUUUACGAUAAUCAAUGCAAACUCUCCAACCCAUGACUAUGCGUGUUGGGAUGAGCUCAUUAUUUUCAUCUGGAACUACUAUGAUCACGUCCUUUUCGGUACGGCCUAUACUGGACUUACCCAAUGACUGUCUAAUAUAGGGUAGAUGAUCCCUGUAUCUAGAAGCUUUAAUACCUCUUUCCUUACCACUUCCUGCAUAGUCAGAUUUAAUCUACGUUGAUGCUCAAUUGAAGUUUUGUAGUCAUCUUCCAUCAGUAUCUUGUGCAUGCAAAGAGAAUGGCUGAUUGUUUUUAUAUCUGAUAUCGUCCAUCUUAUUGCUGUCUUAUGCUCCCGAAGUACCCUUAGCAACUGAUCUUCCUUUGAUCCUGUAAGAUUGUUCGAGAUAAUUACUGGAAGUGAAUUCUUUUCCCCCAAGUAUGCAUAGCAAAGAUAAGUGGGCAGCUGUUUGAGUUCAAGAGCUGAAGCUUGCUGUAUAGAUGAUAACGGUAUUGUGGGUCUUUCACUGAGCUCUAAACGUGGUUGCUUGAAGAAUGGUGGUAGGGCUGCCAAAUAACGUGCACAUUCUUUUGUUUCCUCCUUUUCUCAUGGUAAAUCCUGAGAAUGCACUAAACACGCCUCAAGCGGAUCUGGAGGGUGAUUUAGUUUGAAUGUCUUUGACACCAUUUCUUUUAUUACAUCAAUCUGCAUGCAAGAAUCUGGUUCGCACUGAAAUCUGAAAGCUCCAAACACAUUGAUUGUCAGUUCUUUUUCAUUUAACCUUAAUAUCAACUGGCCAUUUUACACAUCUAUCAUAGCCCUUCCCGUAGCCAAAAAUGGACGACCCAAUAUGAGCCAGACAUCCCUAUCUUUCUCCAUAUCCAGAAUAAUGAAGUCCAUUGGGAAGAUAGACUUGUUGACCUUCAUCAAAAUAUCUUCACAAAUACCACGAGGGUGCUUGAUCGACCUGUCAGCCAACUGUAGUGAAAUUGUUAUUGGUUUUGCUUCCCCCAAACCUAGUUUUCAAAAAAGAGACAAAGGCAUUAAAUUAAUGCUAGCUCCUAAAUCACAUAAUGCUUUAUCUAUAUAUAAGUUACCAAUGUUACAAGAAAUAGUAAAACUCCCUGGGUCUUUUAGUUUCGAUGGUAAUUUGUGUUGGAGAAUUGCGCUACACUUCUCAGUAAGCAUGACAUUUCAUUAUCCUCCAGCUUCCUCUUAUUUGAUAGAAUAUCUUUCAUCAACUUGGCGUAGCUAGGCAUUUGAGCUAAAGCUUCAGCAAAUGGUAUGUUAAUGUGCAACUUUUUGAACACAUCCAAAAAUUUCUGAAAUUGCUUAUCGAGCUUAUGUUUUUGCAAUCUCUGUGGAAAUGGGAUCGGAGGAACAUAUGCUUUGAUAGGAGCAGUUGCCUUCACCUUUGGACUAUCCGAUUACUCAACUUAAUUUUUCUCUGUGGCUUUAUCUUAUUCAUCAACUUGCUCCUCGCCCGUGAUAGGUGUCUUUUCCAUAAUAGUUACUGGCCGCUUUACAUGUAUUUCUGGUAACUGGACGCCACUACGUAUAGUGAUUGCUUUAACCUGCUCCUUAGGAUUUGUUUCAGUAUUGCUAGGCAAUGUCCCUUGAGCUCUACCUGAUAGUGCGGCUGCAAUUUGUCUAACAUGUUGUUCCAAAUUCUUGAUUGAGGCUUGUUGAUUCUGAAAGUUGGUCUCAGUUUUAGUAAUGUAUUGAGUCAGCAAAUCUUCCAACGAUGGCUCUCUCCCUUGCUGUUGGAACCCUGGUAGUUUAUUCUGAUUGUUUCCUCCUUAUUUUUGUACCUGAUUAUUGAACCAAGAAAAAUUUGGAUGGUUCCGCCAACCCGGAUUAUAUGUGUUGGAGAAAGGAUUAUUUUGCUGUCUCUGAAAGUUCUGCAUGUAUCUUCUUUCUUCGGAUUGAUUAACACGUGUUGAUGCCAAAGGGCAGCGUGUAUUAGCAUGAUCCGCUCCAUAGCCUUCGCAAACAGGUGGCGAUUGGUGUACCAUAUUAACUGACUUAGAUAGAUUGUCCAUUUUCAUUAUAAGAACUUCCAUUUGCGCGGCCGUGUUGUCACUGCAUCCACGUUGUGUAACCCUAAUAUUUUCCUUGGAGCUUUCCUAUCGGUUGGCCAUAUCGAUUGAUUUACAGCUAUUUUUUCAUACAAAUCAUAGGCCUCAUCGACAUCAAGUUUCAUAACCGAUCUUCUCGCUGAAGCAUCUAUCAUAUUCCUGAACUCAUAUUUUAGACAGUAGUAGAAGAGAUAUUACUGAGCCUGCUUAGGAAUGUCAAGGCUGAGAUAUUUUCUGAAAAAAAUUCUUGAACCUCUCCCAUGCCACAGAAUAGCUCUCGAGAUCUUCUUGCUUGAAGGUGUGGACGUCAUUCCUAAUUUGGUGAACUCGAGAAGGUGGAAAGAAUUUCAUCGUGAAUUUUUGAACCAUAUCGUUUCAUGAUUGAUUGCUCCCUGGUGGUAAAUAGAGGAACCAUUCUCUGGCAGUAUCCUUCAAGGUAUGAGGAAAUAAUUUCAUUCGGAAUGCAUCUGCUGAUAUUCCUUCAUGACUGAUCACUUCACAUAACACGAGAAAAACAUAAAUAUGCUCAUGAGGAUUUUCCGUGGCUUUUCCAAAGAAUCUAAUGUCUUGGUGAUUUUGAAAUAAAUUGAUGACAUCUGGUCUGAGGUGAAAAUUAGGUUGUCCGAAGGGAGGAUAUACCACAGCAGGUUGUACUGGUGCGGGAAUUGGAUUGACGUAAUCUCCAACUAAGACAGGAGCUUCAUUCAGGAUAGCUCUCUGUUGAUUUGGCUGUUGAAUUGGCUCAUGAAGUUGAACCUUAUUCUGUGGUUGAUUCUGAUUAUCGGUCAUUCUCCUUGCUUGACAUUGUAUUCUACGAUUUCUGAAUGUUCUUUCGAUUUCGUGGUCUAUCGAAGAGAGAUAUGGCUCAUCAGGAUUUUGCAAAAACUAAAGUCGCUUAAAAAGUGUAAUGGUAGCAUAAAAAUAACAACUAAAAAUAAAAAUUAAAAAAUUAAUCUAAAAUAUCUAAUAAUUAAAGUUAACACCGUUAUUCCCCAACAACGGCGCCAAAAACUUGUUCGUGUGAAACCCGUAAGCAUACGGGAUCAUUGACAAGUAAUAGCUAUGAUGAGUUAAGAGUUAUCGUCCCACGAGGAAUAAUGUCUAAUUCUAGUUUACUAGUUACUAUUAGAUUUGAAUUAUGAAAAACAAAGGAAAUAUUUUGAUUUGAUUUAAACUAAACUAAUCUGAGAAAACGAUAAAAAUUUUUGGGGUUUUUUCAAAUUAUGGAGGAUUGUAUUAGAUUUCGACUCCGCCUAUUGCUAUUUAUUUCGAUUAUUGAUUCGUAAUCUAAUUCCAUUCAAGUGUUCUUGACAAUCGAUAACGCUAAAUUAUUUAAUGCUCUUUUCCAAGACACACGAACAUAUAAUUAACACAACUCGAUCCUAGUCUUAGUCCAACUUCAUAUGAAAAUCAUGCAUUUUGUUCAAGUUAUCUAAAUGAUUGCAUGUGUGAAAGAGAUUAUUCAUAAUUCUAACUAUACAUGUUAAUUUUAUCGCAUUCUAAACUCGUUGUGAGUAUUCCUACACUACAACAACCAACUAACUAUUUAAUUGAUGGCCAAACAAUGUAAUAGUGCAAUGAAAAUGCAAAAUUAAUCAACAAACUCAAGAAUUAAACUAGAUUACUUGUCUUGAAUUAGAAAUAAAUAGACAAUAGGGUUCGUCUCAUCCAAUACAUUAAACAAAUUAGCCUAACAUAAUGUUGGAAUUAAACGCAUAAAAAUAGAACGGCUUCAUCGAGAAAUAGACGAAACGUAAUUAAUUCCAAUAGUCCGGGUCUUCCUCGUGUUUGCCGUCUUCGUAUCUCUUGAUUUCUGCCUGCGUAAUUCCCUUUUUUAAUUCCCUAGCAGUAGGCAGCUCGUGUAUCUUCGACUUUCUCUCAUGUGAAUGUAAUUUAAAAACAGCAGCAAUUUUGUGUUUGAAUCUGUAUCAAUUCUGCCUUUUUGUGGGUAAUUAUAUAAUCUUCAGCAAUAUGUAGCCCUAUUAAUUCCCUCACUUGUAUAUAUAUUUAAUUCUGCAGUGGGCAUAAUUUUCCCCAGUUGGCAUGUAUAAUUCUCCUUCUAGCUGCCGUUCCCAAUUAAUUUGUAAC